CUCAGGAUGAACGCUAGCGGCAGGCUUAAUACAUGCAAGUCGUGGGGCAGCAGGUUUGUAGCAAUACAGAUGCUGGCGACCGGCAAACGGGUGCGGGAACACGUACAGAACCUUCCUUUGAGCGGGGAAUAGCCCAGAGAAAUUUGGAUUAAUACCCCAUAGUAUAUGAAGUGGCAUCACUUUAUUAUUAAAGAUUUAUCACUCGAAGAUGGCUGUGCGGCUGAUUAGGUAGUUGGCGGGUAAGCCACCAGCCUGCGAUCAGUAACUGGUGUGAGAGCACGACCAGUCACACGGGCACUGAGACACGGGCCGACUCCUACGGGAGGCAGCAGUAAGGAAUAUUGGUCAAUGGAGGCAACUCUGAACCAGCCAUGCCGCGUGGAGGAUGAAGGUCCUCUGGAUUGUAAACUUCUUUAUAUGGGACGAAAAGAGGCUUUCUAAGUCGUCUGACGGUACCAUAUGAAUAAGCACCGGCUAACUCCGUG
rnacentral:rRNA from 1 species